UUGCAAAACAAAAAUCAUGUCUUUUCCAGGCCAAGGCUGUUUUCCUUUGAGAUCUGUCCAGGUUUUCUUGUGAGUAGAAGCUUUCAGGACAGUAUUUGUUUUUUAUAUGACAAAGUAGUUAGCCCUGCGCACAACCUUCUGGGGGACUGCCCCUUUCAUCUCUCUGGAUAGCUGCCUUUAUUUUCGGAAUAGAGAUGUAAUUCUGCUGUGUCCCCGUGAGUUGGAAACCAGUAAGCAAGUCUUCUAAUAGAGGUCUGAUAGAGUCAUGUACAUCAAGCGAUCAGCACUAAAAGAUGUGGACCUGAUGUGGUGUCAAGCUGAUGAAGCUUUUGCUUUCUUCUUUUGGCUGUUCGUUUAACACAAGACAAAGCACAGACUGAUCGUCAUACCAUUUUAAGAUCCUGGGAUGUGAAAGACUUUACACCAGACUGUCAUCAGUAUCUUUACCUCUUCCAUGCCGGCAAUAAAAUACAUCUGAAACUUGUUGAUCAUAUUGUGCGUAAAGAUGGGUUAGGUUAGAUGAGUUCAGCUUUGCCUUGUUAGCCAACAACUGUCUGUAUCCUGGACUGUCCACACUUGUAUUAUUGCUGGUACACUUUCAGCAGUGAGCCAUGACAGCAGACGUAUAGAAGGCAUGCUGGGAAUGAAAUUCAUCACAUACAGCUGCAAAAAAGUAUUUUCAUUGGUAAUUAUGUGGGCUGCACAAGCCUCAGCUGAUGCUCACCAAAGAACUGAGGCAAAUCUUUUUCGCUGUCCAUACCUUUCUUGGUUACCAUUUCUUUACAUAGUGUGUACAUCUGGAACUGGUCGUGAAUUGUCCAUAAAAAUAACACUUGGUAUAUGAUUGUCCUGCAGGACCAAGCCAGCUCAGACGUCGUUGUCUGAGGAUUGUAAAGAUAUUUGGAAGACCAAUUUUAUCAAGUAACUUUAUAAAUGUUAUAAUAUCAUUAGCUCUUGGAAAUCCUAUGCCGAACUGGGAGUCGAACACUUAGUGAGGUUGUGACUGAACGUCGCAUGAGGUUUGCGGGACAUGUUCUACGUCAAAAUGAAUUACGCACACCAAGAGUUGCGAUAACAUGGAAGCCAAAAUAAGGAAAGCGCAAACACGGACGUCCUUGUAUUACCUGGCGACACACCUUCAUGGAGGACCUCAGAACAGUGGACACCAGGUGGGAGGAGGCUUCAGACAUUACCAGUGACAGAUCAUUAUGGAGACAGCUUGCCGCUCAAUGCGCCGAACGGCGCCGGAGGACCUAUGUCUAAAAUGUUGAGUCAGAUAUUGAAGCCAGAGCUUUGUAUCUAAGUCAAAGACCACUAGUAUUUGACAGUGUUUACAGAGGACAAGAUGUCCCAGCUCAGUCCAAAAUUCAUAAAGACUGUGUCUCAGCGAAGCAAAAGAGUUGGUCUUGGAUUCAAACAGUCAAUGAAUGUUUAGGCAUUCAUAGUGAAAAUACUGCUAACUAUCAUCAGCUCUACCAUGAUGUUUGCCACCUGGAAGAAGACAUGCUUUCAUUCUUGCUUUGGAUGGACAGUUCAACAGUCAGAGCUCAAGUCAAGACUCAAGAUCCUGAUGUCAUGUUAAAACAUUUCAGAUUAAUAAACAAUUGUUGGACUAUCAGGGCUAGUUAGAUCUUCUCACAGAGCGAAGUUGAGAUAUUCACCCAGUUCAUCACCGCCAAGAACUGCCAGAAUGGCAUUUGAAGGCUAGAGCUCUUGUCCAAUAUCAGCACAAACAUGUGUCAUUAGCAAAAGGGGACUUUGUCAAGAUUUUGGAAAAUUCUGAUGCUGAAAGAUGGAAGAUGGAAUAGAAAGUGAAGUCCCUGCUAUUGUGUUGGUCAUUCCUUCCUGCUUCCAACAGAUUGAUAAAUUAAGAGAACAAAUCAAGGUCAAUAGUUCUAUUGCUGCUAAAAGAUUAAGGUCACAUUUGAUCCAGUUUUUAAGUGCUGCUAUUUCCCAGACACAGUCCAAAGAUAUGGUGAAUGAGGCAGCAGACAUCUUGAAAGGAGCUGAUUUCAAGUUCCUUCAACAGUCUUUUCAUUUUAUUUAGGAAGAAGCUCAUCAGUCACUUCAAACCAGGUGAUGAUGGAGUCAUAAACAGUAGGAUACAGAGGUGAAACAAAACUGGAGCUUUAGUUUGUUUGUUUGUAGAACUUGGCAUCUACUCCAGACAUUAUUCUGAAGAACACUCAAGUAAAAGAAAAGAAGAAAUGUUAAAGGUUAAGGACUUGGGCUCCAAUCAUACUUACACUUCAAAAGCUUUAAUUUGAAAGGUCUUAUAUUUUUGUGGAAAUAAAUUUUACUAGUGGAGUUUUUGUAGCUGCCAGAGUGGAUCAAGGUGGAUGUGAUAUCUAUUUAUAAACAUGUAUACCAGUAUAUUGUAAUCAGUGAUUUUCAUUUUUUGGUAACAGUUUGUUUCCAUUUAGAUUGCAGUCUUUCUUAUGUGAAAACAAGAUGUCUGCAUAAUCUUAGAGGACAUUUUUAAACUCAUUUAAAUUUAUUAGAUGAAAUAUUUAUAAAACAUACAAUGUAAAUUGUUUUGUAAAAUGAUUAUACAUUUGAGUUCAUAAAAAAUAAUUUUUUAAUGGCAUCAUGUUUCUGCUUAUCUGUAUCUGAUACUGAUGAUGUGUUUUCUAAAUCUAUUACUGCUUCACCAUUGAGGAAAAACUGCACAUGUUUAAACCCAUAUCUGAAGUAACUUUCCAGAAAAAAAAAAGAUGUAUGUUGGACAGUGUCCAAAAUUUCAAAUCAUUUCCUUCAAAAUGUUAUCAAUUUCCUCCAUAACUUCAUAACAUUAUUGAAUUUUUUCCUUCAGAACACAAUUGUAAAUUAUCUUUUUUUUUUUUUUUUUUUUUGUUAAACCACAAUGAGAGUCUAAUAACUAAUAGUCUAGCAAACAAUUACUUAUAAUUUGCCUUAUUAUUAUACAAUAUUAAGAUUUACUUCUGCAGGGAUGAAAAACUUUUUUUAAAAUACAAUAGACAUGUAUAAUAAUAAAGUACAUUCACACCUGACUCACUCAUAAUUUACAUGUGAAAAGUUUAUAUCAGAUUGUUUCUAUUUAAUGAUUUGAUUGCCAUCAGUGUCUUGUAUCUCUUUUGUGAUGGUAAAGUCACAAAAUGUUGGAAACCCCACUGUGUUUGGUCCAGUAUGUGGGUUAUUAUAUUAAAGUCUAUUGUAUUUUCUAUAUUAUUUUACAAAUGUAAAAAAAAUAAAAAGAAAUUGUUACACUGUUGAUGUUUUUAAA